rnacentral:rRNA from 1 species
UGGGGAAUAUUGCGCAAUGGGGGAAACCCUGACGCAGCGACGCCGCGUGCGGGAUGAAGGCCCUCGGGUUGUAAACCGCCUUUGAUUGGGAGCAAGCUUUCGGGUGAGUGUACCUUUCGAAUAAGCGCCGGCUAACUACGUGCCAGCAGCCGCGGUAAUACGUAGGGCGCAAGCGUUAUCCGGAAUUAUUGGGCGUAAAGAGCUUGUAGGCGGUUCGUCGCGUCUGGUGUGAAAGCCCAUCGCUUAACGGUGGGUUUGCGCCGGGUACGGGCGGGCUAGAGUGCAGUAGGGGAGACUGGAAUUCUCGGUGUAACGGUGGAAUGUGUAGAUAUCGGGAAGAACACCGAUGGCGAAGGCAGGUCUCUGGGCUGUUACUGACGCUGAGAAGCGAAAGCGUGGGGAGCGAACAGG